rnacentral:rRNA from 1 species
UACGUAGGGCGCAAGCGUUGUCCGGAAUUAUUGGGCGUAAAGAGCUCGUAGGCGGCAUGGCAAGUCGGGAGUGAAAGGCCUGGGCUCAACCGAGGAACUGCUUUCGAGACUGCCAAGCUAGAGUGCGGAAGGGGCAUCUGGAAUUCCCAGUGUAGCGGUGAAAUGCGUAGAUAUUGGGAAGAACACCUGAGGCGAAGGCGGGAUGCUGGGCCGACACUGACGCUGAGGCGCGAAAGCCAGGGGAGCAAACGGGG